AGGGAAUGAAGAGUGAUGAGAAGAGAUGCUGCUCAAGCUGCUCAGAGCCUAGAGGGGAGACCUGAGACCUUAAAGAAGCAGACAGAAGGAGAAACCCAUGAAAAAUCCUGGCACAUGAGGUGAUCAUGAUGGUGAUGCUGGAGAUGGUGAUGACAGCAGCAACUAAUCCUUACAGAGCAUGUGCCAGAUAGUUUUCCAAGCACAUUAUAAAGAUUAAUAUAUUUUGUGUUCAGCUACUUAUGACGACUUUGUAGGGCCUUCCAUGAUGUGAAAAUCAAAAGUCCUCUUCUGUAUUCUGAUAAUGGCAUCUUUGGAAUGAUGGAACUGAAAAGAUAGUGAUUUGAACAAUUCUUGUUAAUUGAAAGCCUCACUUAUUCUACCCAGCUCAACUUGAAGAUUUUGGAAGAGAAGAGGGACUUGUGGGUUAAGGCAGAGGGUUUGGAAAAGACUUUACUGAUUUUCUACGGCUAGGCUCAGAGUAGUAUUCAAGAUCCUUUACAAUUCAGAUUCAGAUUACUUUGUUUCUGCUUUAUGCCCUCUAUGCUAUGCUGGUCUUUAAAUUCAGCACCAUGGACAGAAUAGGUUAGAUCAGGGAGUGGUUGGAGCAAAACUCAGCUUGGGGAAGAGUAGUAGGUCACAAUAGGACCCCUUUUCAUUCUCAGGAGAUGGCCUUAUUUAAAGGCACGUGCAUUGUGAGUUGAGAAAUUCCAUAAAGGACAGCUUUGCUGCCCUAAACAAUCACCUGCAUGGAAAUAAUCGGUAAAAAAGCAUGUCCUUUGAAAUCAAAAUAUCAAAAUUUGUAUUCUAACUUUUUAAAAAUAUUUGCUAAGUCUUUGACUUUGGGCAUGGUACCCUUCCUGAGAACCAGUUUCUUUACAUGUACAUUUGGGAAAUGAAUGCCCUUAGAAGCUCCUGCUUUAUCAUUUCUACUAGCGCAGCAUUUGUUAUCUUCCUGCAAUCCUUUCACUGGCUUGUCUGUUAUCAAAUGCUGGUAGAUCACAGUAUAACGCAGUAUCCAUACUUGGCAAUCACCCGACAGAGUCCAGCCCUGAUGCAUCAGUUAUAACAUAGACACUUCUUUCUCUACCAGGGACCAUGUGGCAGCCUAAGGCACAGAGGCCUUUCUGGGCAAGCUAUAUAGAGCUGGGCCUGCUGGCUCUUUUGUUUGCAUACACCAAAUUUGAGAUGGGCUAUCAUUAACCAAAUGGAGAGCAGCUGUGCUUACUGAGAAAGUGUGCUUCCUCAGAUCUGUGGACAUGAUAGAAAUUCCACAACCAGAAUGUCUGGCUCAAGAGGCCUCAGGAACAUGUGAAGCUGCUUUAGUUAACGUUCCAGGAGAACUUCUUUUUCUUUGGCCUAAUAUCUCCUGGGCUGAUCCAGUGAUGAAUCCUUAAGUUUCUCAAUUAGAAGAUUACGCCUUUGGGAUGAGUAGGAUUUUCUCUGUUAAAAGGCAAAUUCCAAUAGCAAGAUCUCACAUUAAACAGUUCCCAGCCAGUGACACCUUCUUUAGUGUGAAUUAAAGGCUGGCAACUUCCUCUAGAAAUUAAACACAGAACUGAAUAGGGACCAGAUGAGGGACAGAAAAGUCCAGAGUACAAGUCCCCUCAUCUGGAGGCUAUAAGAGAUGAGAAGAAGUUCACAGAUGGAAAGAAGAGUUGCCAAAGACCACAUCUACACACUUCAAAGUUGCGUCCAAAGUUGCUGCCAGCUGAAACCAGAUUUUUAUUUGUUCUUGCAAUAUGAUCAAACUUUUGAUUAAAUAGACACCUUGUCCACCUUU
rnacentral:lncRNA from 1 species